UGCGUAGGCGGCUUUGUAAGUCAGGAGUGAAAGUUUGCGGCUCAACCGUAAAAUUGCUUUUGAUACUGCGAGGCUGGAAUUAGGAUGAGGUCAGCGGAAUGUGGCAUGUAGCGGUGAAAUGCAUAGAUAUGCCAUAGAACACCAAUUGCGAAGGCAGCUGGCUAGACCUGGAUUGACGCUGAGGCACGAAAGCGUGGGGAGCGAACAGGAUUAGAUACCCUGGUAGUCCACGCCCUAAACGAUGCUCACUCGACGUAUGAUGCUAGACAUUGUGCGUCCAAGGGAAACCGUUAAGUGAGCCACCUGGGGAGUACGACCGCAAGGUUGAA
rnacentral:rRNA from 1 species